CCUACGGGAGGCAGCAGUGGGGAAUAUUGCACAAUGGGGGAAACCCUGAUGCAGCGACGCCGCGUGAGUGAAGAAGUGCCUCGGCGUGUAAAGCUCUGUCAGCAGGGACGAAAAUGACGGUACCUGAAGAAGAAGCCCCGGCUAACUACGUGCCAGCAGCCGAGGUAAUACGUAGGGGGCAAGCGUUAUCCGGAUUUACUGGGUGGAAAGGGAGCGUAGACGGCGGGGCAAGUCUGGAGGGAAAGGCCGGAGCUGAACCCCGGGACAGCUUUGGAAACUGGGCGGCGGGAGUGCGGGAGAGGUAAGCGGAAUUCCUAGUGUAGCGGUGAAAUGCGUAGAUAUUAGGAGGAACACCAGCGGCGAAGGCGGCUUACUGGACCGUGACUGACGUUGAGGCUCGAAAGCGUGGGGAGCAAACAGGAUUAGAUACCCCAGUAGUC
rnacentral:rRNA from 1 species